rnacentral:tRNA from 1 species
UUCGACGUGGUGGAGCGGGUGACCACCCCGGCGCUCGCGGCGCGCCAGGCGCUGGUGCCGUUCCGGCCGGUCGACGGGG